rnacentral:rRNA from 1 species
AACGAACGCUGGCGGCAUGCCUAACACAUGCAAGUCGAACGAGACCUUCGGGUCUAGUUGCGCACGGGUGCGUAACGCGUGGGAACCUUCCCUUAGGUUCGGAAUAACUCCCCGAAAGGGGUGCUAAUACCGGAUAAUGUCUUCGGACCAAAGAUUUAUCGCCUUUGGAUGGGCCCGUGUUGGAUUAGCUAGUUGGUAGGGUAAAAGCCUACCAAGGCGACGAUCCAUAGCUGGUCUGAGAGGAUGAUCAGCCACACUGGGACUGAGACACGGCCCAGACUCGUACGGGAGGCAGCAGUGGGGAAUACUGGACAAUGGGCGAAAGCGUGAUGAAGCAAUGCCGGGUGAGAGAUGAAGGCCUUAGGGUUGUAAAGCUCUUUUACACGGGAUGAUAAUGACAGUACCGGGAGAAUAAGCUCCGGCUAACUACGUG